GUAGUCGAUGGGAAACAGGUUAAUAUUCCUGUACUUGGUGUUACUGCGAAGGGGGGACGGAGAAGGCUAUGUUGGCCGGGCGACGGUUGUCCCGGUUUAAGCGUGUAGGCUGGUUUUCCAGGCAAAUCCGGAAAAUCAAGGCUGAGGCGUGAUGACGAGGCACUACGGUGCUGAAGCAACAAAUGCCCUGCUUCCAGGAAAAGCCUCUAAGCAUCAGGUAACAUCAAAUCGUACCCCAAACCGACACAGGUGGUCAGGUAGAGAAUACCAAGGCGCUUGAGAGAACUCGGGUGAAGGAACUAGGCAAAAUGGUGCCGUAACUUCGGGAGAAGGCACGCUGAUAUGUAGGUGAAGCGACUUGCUCGUGGAGCUGAAAUCAGUCGAAGAUACCAGCUGGCUGCAACUGUUUAUUAAAAACACAGCACUGUGCAAACACGAAAGUGGACGUAUACGGUGUGACGCCUGCCCGGUGCCGGAAGGUUAAUUGAUGGGGUUAGCGGUAACGCGAAGCUCUUGAUCGAAGCCCCGGUAAACGGCGGCCGUAACUAUAACGGUCCUAAGGUAGCGAAAUUCCUUGUCGGGUAAGUUCCGACCUGCACGAAUGGCGUAAUGAUGGCCAGGCUGUCUCCACCCGAGACUCAGUGAAAUUGAACUCGCUGUGAAGAUGCAGUGUACCCGCGGCAAGACGGAAAGACCCCGUGAACCUUUACUAUAGCUUGACACUGAACAUUGAGCCUUGAUGUGUAGGAUAGGUGGGAGGCUUUGAAGUGUGGACGCCAGUCUGCAUGGAGCCGACCUUGAAAUACCACCCUUUAAUGUUUGAUGUUCUAACGUUGGCCCGUAAUCCGGGUUGCGGACAGUGUCUGGUGGGUAGUUUGACUGGGGCGGUCUCCUCCUAAAGAGUAACGGAGGAGCACGAAGGUUGGCUAAUCCUGGUCGGACAUCAGGAGGUUAGUGCAAUGGCAUAAGCCAGCUUGACUGCGAGCGUGACGGCGCGAGCAGGUGCGAAAGCAGGUCAUAGUGAUCCGGUGGUUCUGAAUGGAAGGGCCAUCGCUCAACGGAUAAAAGGUACUCCGGGGAUAACAGGCUGAUACCGCCCAAGAGUUCAUAUCGACGGCGGUGUUUGGCACCUCGAUGUCGGCUCAUCACAUCCUGGGGCUGAAGUAGGUCCCAAGGGUAUGGCUGUUCGCCAUUUAAAGUGGUACGCGAGCUGGGUUUAGAACGUCGUGAGACAGUUCGGUCCCUAUCUGCCGUGGGCGCUGGAGAACUGAGGGGGGCUGCUCCUAGUACGAGAGGACCGGAGUGGACGCAUCACUGGUGUUCGGGUUGUCAUGCCAAUGGCACUGCCCGGUAGCUAAAUGCGGAAGAGAUAAGUGCUGAAAGCAUCUAAGCACGAAACUUGCCCCGAGAUGAGUUCUCCCUGAGACUUUAAGUCUCCUGAAGGAACGUUGAAGACGACGACGUUGAUAGGCCGGGUGUGUAAGCGCAGCGAUGCGUUGAGCUAACCGGUACUAAUGAACCGUGAGGCUUAACCUUACAACGCCGAAGGUGUUU
rnacentral:rRNA from 1 species